rnacentral:misc_RNA from 1 species
GAUGAAGAACGCAGCGAAAUGCGAUAAGUAAUGUGAAUUGCAGAAUUCAGUGAAUCAUCGAAUCUUUGUACGCACAUUGCGCCCCCUGGUAUUCCGGGGGGCAUGCCUGUUCGAGCGUCAUUACAACCCUCAAGCUCUGCUUGGUAUUGGGCCCCGCCAGUUCUGGCGGGCCCUAAAGUCAGUGGCGGUGCCUUCCGGCUCCGAGCGUAGUAAUUCUUCUCGCUCUGGAGACCCGGUUGUGUGCUUGCCAACAACCCCCAAUUUUUUAAGGUUGACCUCGGAUCAGGUAGGGAUACCCGCUGAACUUAAGCAUAUCAAUAAGCGGAGGA